rnacentral:miRNA from 1 species
AACUACGAGAUCGCCCCUUUC